AGUACCAUACAUAAGAGAAAUAUGACACGCACCGGAUCCCAUCAGAACUCCGAAGUUAAGCGUGCUUGGACGAGAGUAGUACUAGGAUGGGUGACCCCCUGGAAGUCCUCGUGUUGCAUCCC
rnacentral:rRNA from 1 species